rnacentral:rRNA from 1 species
UACGUAGGUGGCAAGCGUUGUCCGGAUUUACUGGGCGUAAAGAGCGCGCAGGCGGUCGUACAAGUCGCGUGUGAAAGCCCCCGGCUCAACUGGGGAGGGUCACGCGAUACUGUUCGACUCGAAGGCAGGAGAGGGAAGCGGAAUUCCCGGUGUAGUGGUGAAAUGCGUAGAUAUCUGGAGGAACACCGGUGGCGAAAGCGGCUCACUGGAUCGAAACUGACGCUGAGGUGCGAAAGCUAGGGUAGCAAACGGG